GAUGAACGCUGGCGGCGUGCCUAAUACAUGCAAGUCGAGCGAACGGACGAGAAGCUUGCUUCUCUGAUGUUAGCGGCGGACGGGUGAGUAACACGUGGAUAACCUACCUAUAAGACUGGGAUAACUUCGGGAAACCGGAGCUAAUACCGGAUAAUAUUUUGAACCGCAUGGUUCAAAAGUGAAAGACGGUCUUGCUGUCACUUAUAGAUGGAUCCGCGCUGCAUUAGCUAGUUGGUAAGAUAACGGCUUACCAAGGCAACGAUGCAUAGCCGACCUGAGAGGGUGAUCGGCCACACUGGAACUGAGACACGGUCCAGACUCCUACGGGAGGCAGCAGUAGGGAAUCUUCCGCAAUGGGCGAAAGCCUGACGGAGCAACGCCGCGUGAGUGAUGAAGGUCUUCGGAUCGUAAAACUCUGUUAUUAGGGAAGAACAUAUGUGUAAGUAACUGUGCACAUCUUGACGGUACCUAAUCAGAAAGCCACGGCUAACUACGUGCCAGCAGCCGCGGUAAUACGUAGGUGGCAAGCGUUAUCCGGAAUUAUUGGGCGUAAAGCGCGCGUAGGCGGUUUUUUAAGUCUGAUGUGAAAGCCCACGGCUCAACCGUGGAGGGUCAUUGGAAACUGGAAAACUUGAGUGCAGAAGAGGAAAGUGGAAUUCCAUGUGUAGCGGUGAAAUGCGCAGAGAUAUGGAGGAACACCAGUGGCGAAGGCGACUUUCUGGUCUGUAACUGACGCUGAUGUGCGAAAGCGUGGGGAUCAAACAGGAUUAGAUACCCUGGUAGUCCACGCCGUAAACGAUGAGUGCUAAGUGUUAGGGGGUUUCCGCCCCUUAGUGCUGCAGCUAACGCAUUAAGCACUCCGCCUGGGGAGUACGACCGCAAGGUUGAAACUCAAAGGAAUUGACGGGGACCCGCACAAGCGGUGGAGCAUGUGGUUUAAUUCGAAGCAACGCGAAGAACCUUACCAAAUCUUGACAUCCUUUGACAACUCUAGAGAUAGAGCCUUCCCCUUCGGGGGACAAAGUGACAGGUGGUGCAUGGUUGUCGUCAGCUCGUGUCGUGAGAUGUUGGGUUAAGUCCCGCAACGAGCGCAACCCUUAAGCUUAGUUGCCAUCAUUAAGUUGGGCACUCUAAGUUGACUGCCGGUGACAAACCGGAGGAAGGUGGGGAUGACGUCAAAUCAUCAUGCCCCUUAUGAUUUGGGCUACACACGUGCUACAAUGGACAAUACAAAGGGCAGCGAAACCGCGAGGUCAAGCAAAUCCCAUAAAGUUGUUCUCAGUUCGGAUUGUAGUCUGCAACUCGACUACAUGAAGCUGGAAUCGCUAGUAAUCGUAGAUCAGCAUGCUACGGUGAAUACGUUCCCGGGUCU
rnacentral:rRNA from 1 species